rnacentral:rRNA from 1 species
ACUCGAGUGGCGAACGGGUGAGUAACACGUGGGUGAUCUGCCCUGCACUUCGGGAUAAGCUUGGGAAACUGGGUCUAAUACCGGAUAGGAGCCAUCUUUAGUGUGGUGGUUGGAAAGUUUUUUCGGUGUAGGAUGAGCUCGCGGCCUAUCAGCUUGUUGGUGGGGUAAUGGCCUACCAAGGCGGCGACGGGUAGCCGGCCUGAGAGGGUGUACGGCCACAUUGGGACUGAGAUACGGCCCAGACUCCUACGGGAGGCAGCAGUGGGGAAUAUUGCACAGUGGGCGCAAGCCUGAUGCAGCGACGCCGCGUGGGGGAUGAAGGCCUUCGGGUUGUAAACUCCUUUCGCUAGGGACGAAGCUUUGUUGUGACGGUACCUAGAUAAGAAGCACCGGCUAACUACGUGCCAGCAGCCGCGGUAAUACGUAGGGUGCGAGCGUUGUCCGGAAUUACUGGGCGUAAAGGGCUCGUAGGUGGUUUGUCGCGUCGUCUGUGAAAUUCUGGGGCUUAACUCCGGGCGUGCAGGCGAUACGGGCAUAACUUGAGUGCUGUAGGGGUAACUGGAAUUCCUGGUGUAGCGGUGAAAUGCGCAGAUAUCAGGAGGAACACCGAUGGCGAAGGCAGGUUACUGGGCAGUUACUGACGCUGAGGAGCGAAAGCAUGGGUAGCGAACAGGAUUA